rnacentral:lncRNA from 1 species
AAACACUGGUGUAUACAUUUAUAUAUAUUGAUGAACUGGCUGAGGCAUAUUUGUGUAGGGAGGAGGAAGAGUUUCAAAAUGGCUCAUUAUGAUGUUUGUUGUGCAUCAAAAUCAUCUUUAUUGUUGUUAUGUUUGGUAAGAGCUUGCUUUGUCCAGCGUUUAAGGUCAUAAGCCUUUUUGAAUGGUCUUCUGUCCUUGAUAAGUCUCUUCUUUGUGAUAGCAAUGGCCAGGUCAUUGGGGAACAGUGUCUUCCAAAAAAAAGCAUGAAGAAGAGUGGAGACAAAGAGAAGAGACACCAUAGUAGAGGACAUGAAAGAAAGGGUAAGUGCUAAACCUUUACUUACAACUGUAGGGACAUGCUCUGCAUACUUUAUGGUUGCUACUGAAGCUGUUGUCAUUGGAAAUGUGUAAGACCACCAAGCUACUGAAAAUCUGCAAAGGAUAAAAUUCACAUGUUUUCAGGUAUAUUAAUAAUUAUUAUUAAUCGAUUUGAUUGGUUUCUCUUGAAAUGUAAAAUUUUAUUCAAUCUUUGUUCAAAUUUUCAAUCAGUAGUAGUGAUGGGGUGGUUGUGUUGGUGUGAUCCAAGGCAGUUUCUUGGGUUUGAUGGAAUGAAAUGGUGGUUUCAGAAUGGGGCAUAAUACAAAAAGUAGAUUCUAUGGUUGCCCACUUGUUUUCUCUUUUUAAUAAAUAAAAAGUUGGUUAAAUCAUUAUUUAUGAAAAGCAAUGAUUAAGUGCAAUUUCUUAUGCAUCUAAGUUUUUAAAAUCUGUCACAUGACAAUUUUUUUUAUUGAUGUGUUUAAAUUACACAGAGAUAGACUAAAUUUAGAUUACAUUUCAAUUUUCUUUUUUGGUAUUUAAUAGGGGUCUCUCCUAACCUUUUUAAAAACUUGUAAGAUCAAUUUUGUAACAAAGUCCAAAGACUAAAUGGGAAAACAAAAAAAUUUAAUUAGAUUCUAUAAAUGACUUUUUUAAAGAACGGUAAAAGUUCUAUUAUUAUUUAACGUUCAAAUAACAUAACUUAAUUUCUAUAUAAAUUUGAAGCGUUUGUAAAAGAAUAAUUGUAUUCUUAAAGCAAAUAUAAAGGCUGGAGAGUAAUUUUUACAAUCCAACUGUUAUUUGUCACAUCAAACUCAAUCUAAUGAACAUGUCACAUCAACCAACAACAGCAAUCAUACCAUUAAGAAAAAGAUGAGCUUUAAGCAUCUUUAAAAAGGAAAAAGAAAAGAAAGAAACAAUAAGUUCUGACCUGAAUCCAGUGAAGAAGUUGAUCCUAACAACAAGAGAAAUGUAGAGAAACAAAGCAAUGAAGAAGCAAGUUCUUGAUAAGCCAUCAAAGUCAUCAUAAAUGGUCUGCCAAGCAAUGCUGGCUGCAGAAGGGGCAGCUAUGAACAUUGAGUAAACAGGAUGCAGUUCCUUUGGCAAUGCCUCACUCGUCGGCAGCCUUUGAUAAAGUGUCACAAACACUACUAAAUAAUGU